rnacentral:rRNA from 1 species
AGGACGAACGCUGGCGGUGUGCUUCACACAUGCAAGUCGAACGAGGUAGCAAUACCUAGUGGCGGACGGGUGAGUAACGCGUGGGAAUCUGCCUUUGGAUGGGGGAUAACGGUUCGAAAGAGUCGCUAAAUACCGCAUAUGACGAAAGUUGAAAGGAGUAAUCCGUCUAAAGAUGAGCCCGCGUCCGAUUAGCUAGUUGGUAAGGUAAGAGCUUACCAAGGCGACGAUCGGUAGCUGGUCUGAGAGGAUGAUCAGCCACAAUGGGACUGAGACACGGCCCAUACUCCUACGGGAGGCAGCAGUGGGAAUUUUACGCAAUGGGCGAAAGCCUGACGUAGCGACACCGCGUGAACGAAGAAGCCUCUUGGGGUGUAAAGUUCUGUCAGCUGGAACGAAAAAAUGACGGUACCAGCAGAGGAAGCAUCGGCUAACUACGUGCCAGCAGCCGC